rnacentral:lncRNA from 1 species
UAUAUACAUGUAACACUCAGAAACGUGUCCUUCCCCCAAAACGUGUCCGAUUCCCCAAACGUGUCCACAUCGACGUCACUGAACUGCAAAAACAUGUCUAGUUGUCAAAGGGCGCCAAAGCGUGUCAUUUGUAUAAACGCUCAAAACGUCAUUUUUUAAUAACCCCAAUCUGUCAAUUCCCCAAACGUGUCCAUACCAAGCUUUUUUUUUAUUUUACUGGAACUAUCAUUCGUAUUCAUAUUAUAAAAACGUAGGUUAUUUGUGUGUUUUUUUUUAUUAUUGUCAUUGUAUACUCAUUUUACGAUCUUUUACUAUUUCCUUAAAAGAUCAAAAUAAAUUUCUUAAAUUCUUUUUCUAUGCGCAUUAAAAUGUUUAUAGCAUUUCACUCUUUAUAAUGUGCCAUACGUUGUAUUUUGGAAGGCAACAUUUUUGUUAAUUUCUGCAACUUUUAUUUGAAACGGCCUCUAUAUUACAUAACAGACAUUGAAGUAGUUUCUUACUUCAAAGUCAUAAACAAAUCGGUCUUUACUCGCAUUUAUUUUUCUUUUGAUUUAAAUCCAAACUAGUGGUCAUCCCAGAUAACCGUAAAAAUUAAUGGCCAAUUUUAAAUUCCGGUUUGAUAAUAUAACCUAUCUACAGUAUAUGUCGUUAAUAUAAUAUCGUUCAAAUAACGAAUGAAAUAUUUGUCACUGGACGUUAUUUCUCUUGUUCUGUGUCUUUAGUGACGCUCGUAACCUAAAAUUUAUUAAAAAUUAGAACUGUUAAAAGAAGAUGGGAGGUCAAUUCGACUGAAAGCCCACCGUGCAAUAUUCUAUUAAUAUAAAAGGCAUCAUCGGAGUUUAUUAGUAUAAAAUAAUUUACAUAGUAAACGAUUACUAUCAACUGUAUUAGAAUUAUCUGUAUGUUUGCUUUAAAUGAGCACGAAAUACUUGCAACUGGACAAUAAGCAAAUUAAGUCAAAAGUUAAUGCAUAUGUUACAUAUUAAAUUUUCAGUAAUUAUAAUCAUUAACAACCGGCAUUGAACAAGUUAAUGCUAAUAUUACCACUUCAUCGACUGUGUCCCCCAUCAUAGAACUGCCGUGAACGUGUAUUGAUGUCGCGUUUAGGACAUGUAUUAGCGCUAAAAGACGCGAGACUUCUUGCGUUAAAAAGUGGACACGUUUGGGCGAAUAACAAUAGUAUCAGGC